GCCCUCAUAGUUUAGGGGUUAUAACGCUACACUUGUAAUGUAGAGGUCCGUAGUUCGAUUCUGCGUGGGGGCU